UGUGAUCUAGAACAUGAAAUGGAAAGAGGUUCUGAUGAAGAAGAUGGAGAAACUUCUAGAAAGAAAUUAAGGUUGUCAAAAGAUCAAUCUGUCAUUCUUGAAGAAAGUUUCAAAGAACACAACACACUCAAUCCUGUAAGUUCAUGUGACCCUGUUUAACUCAACCCGGAAUUUAAAAAAAAAAAGAAAAAGAAUUUUGAAUUCUUUUGGGGGUAUUUUGGUCAUUUUGAUGAUUUGCUUACAGAUUUGUACUUUUUGUGUUUUUGUAGAAGCAAAAGUUGGCUUUGGCUAAAAGACUGGGAUUGAGGCCUAGGCAAGUGGAGGUGUGGUUUCAGAACAGAAGGGCAAGGUGAGACAUUUUUGUAGUUUUGCUUACUUUUCAAGGGUAUUUAUGGUAUUUAAUCCACUGUUUAUGUAAUGAUAUAAGAAUGAUGAUUAUAUUGAAAAAGAUGGGAGUAGCAAUGAUAUAAUAAUGACUACUAAAAGAUUAAAACAGCAUGUCUCAUGUGAGUGUGUAUGAGACCAAAUCAUAUGCUAUUUUGGUCUUUAUUUGGACAUUUAGGUACCAACAAUGACAUUUUGUCUCCCCAUCAUACUUUAUUGAUUGGCUCCAUUUUUAUAUAUUGGUCCAUCACAAUCAUUUGUGGUCAUUUGCUUCUAGUAAUAAGAGUAAUAAUUUCAUAAUAAAUUUUGUAUCUAACUUUAUUUACUAUUUGGUUUAAGGAAUGAGUUAAUCUCGAAAUUAUUUUAUCCCACUAUUUAUUAAAAUUCAUCACAUACAGAAAAUGAGAUAAAAUAAUUUCACGAAAUAUUUCAGUCUAUGAAAUAGUUUUUUUUUUUUAAAUCCUAUCCCGCGUACUAACGAUCCUAAUAUUUUUAUAUUUUGGAUCUUUACUAUAAUAUUAACUGAAUCUUUCUUGUUAAUCAAUUUGAAUGGAUCUUCUAGAAGUGUUCAAUAUUACACUUAAGUUUUGGGGUCCUAUCUAUUUAGAUCCAUUUGGAAUUUAACAUCUAACUAGAAUUUUUGCACUACUAUCAGAUGAGUAAAAUAACUAUUCAUGUUAGGAGAAGGUAGUAAUUACCCUAAAAAUUAAGGUAGGCAACUUGUUAACUCAUUUCAAAUCUAACCACUUUUAGGUACACUAAAACAGGUCAAUAAAUGAUAUAAAAGCAGUGUAUUAAUAGUGCAAAAGUUCCAUACAUAUUGCAUAUAAGUUAAGUUCAUAUUUAAGUAAUUCUCUUUUUAGGUAUGUUGCAUAAAAUAAUUUAAAAGAUGUCACGCUACGCGUCAGAUCCUUCAAAUAUAAUGUAUUUUUGGAAUAUCCGGCACACGUACAGUGCAUUUUUGUUCUUUUCUUAAUGGAAAUUGUUUUUUUUUUUUUUUGAACAGGACAAAGUUGAAGCAAACAGAAGUUGACUGUGAGUUUUUGAAGAGAUGUUGUGAGAAUUUGACAGAGGAAAACAGGAGAUUACAGAAGGAAGUUCAAGAAUUGAGGGCAUUAAAGCUUUCACCUCAAUUCUACAUGCAAAUGACCCCUCCCACCACCCUCACCAUGU
rnacentral:lncRNA from 1 species